rnacentral:rRNA from 1 species
GACGAACGCUGGCGGCGUGCUUAACACAUGCAAGUCGAACGGAAAGGCCCUGCUUUUGUUGGGUGCUCGAGUGGCGAACGGGUGAGUAACACGUGAGUAACCUGCCCUUGACUUUGGGAUAACUUCAGGAAACUGGGGCUAAUACCGGAUAGGAUCUCCUGCUGCAUGGUGGGGGUUGGAAAGUUUCGGCUGUUGGGGAUGGACUCGCGGCUUAUCAGCUUGUUGGUGGGGUAGUGGCUUACCAAGGCUUUGACGGGUAGCCGGCCUGAGAGGGUGACCGGCAACAUUGGGACUGCGAUACGGCCCAGCCUCCUACGGGAGGCAGCAGUGGGGAAUAUUGCACAAUGGGCGGAAGGCUGAUGCAGCAACGCCGCGUGCGGGAUGACGCCCUUUGGGUUGUAAACCGCUUUCGCCUGUGACGAAGCGGGAGUGACGGUAAUGGGUAAAGAAGCACCGGCUAACUACGUG